rnacentral:antisense_RNA from 1 species
UGCUAUGGCAGCUGUGCGUGUGGGCACCUUCGGGUGCGCCAGGCUUUCUAUGGCCCCUGGUCUGUCAACCCGCGCACAGUUGCCACCCUC